rnacentral:snRNA from 1 species
UCAAUAAGCGGAGGAAAAGA